rnacentral:rRNA from 1 species
GACGAACGCUGGCGGCGUGCUUAACACAUGCAAGUCGAACGAUGAAGGAGAGCUUGCUCUCCGGAUUAGUGGCGAACGGGUGAGUAACACGUGACUAGCCUGCCCCUUUCUCUGGGAUAACGCUCCGAAAGGAGUGCUAAUACCGGAUACGAACUCUGAACACAUGUUCGGAGUUGGAAAGUUUUUCGGAAAGGGAUGGAGUCGCGGCCUAUCAGCUUGUUGGUGAGGUAAUGGCUCACCAAGGCGACGACGGGUAGCCGGCCUGAGAGGGCGACCGGCCACACUGGGACUGAGACACGGCCCAGACUCCUACGGGAGGCAGCAGUGGGGAAUAUUGCACAAUGGGCGAAAGCCUGAUGCAGCGACGCCGCGUGAGGGAUGAAGGUCUUCGGAUUGUAAACCUCUUUCAGUAGGGACGAAGCGAAAGUGACGGUACCUAAAGAAGAAGCACCGGCUAACUACGUGCCAGCAGCCGCCGUAA